CGAGUAGAUAUGGUUGCCAUUGUUCAAUAGAGCCAUUGGACUUGUCUCAACGAUGUUCCUAUCUGCCAUGAUAUUGCAGGAUAUCUAGGUUGACUCAUUAUCCCUGGCUUUGUAAAGACUACAGCAUAAUGGGAGCCCUACUUCCUUGUUCCCACCCUCAAAGACAGGCUUUUCAAAACGGGGAAGGUACUGCUUUACAGGUUCACAGGAGCUAUGCUACUAUGCACUGUAUAUCCGAGAUUGCUAAAUUAUUCACUACAAUGGCUGCUUCUGAUGAUUCCGCUUUCCAAGAAGAGCUGGAAGCCAAAUUUUGGGGGGAUGUUAAUUUACAUAGGAACAUACAGCCCUGUUUAUUUGAGUCAGAAUGCACUGAAGAGGAGUUGAAACAGCAAUAAAAAUAAUAGUGAAACCAGCAAGCUGCGGCGGCAGCCUAGACCAGGUGGACCAGGUCAAAGGAAGGCAAAUGACAAACAAACAAUACCGCUUGGAUGCAACGAAGUUAAUGACUCUCAAGAGGAGAUGUGAAAGGAGCCAUAAAAAUGUCCUGUAACACUUCAUUUUAAAGGGUCCUUAUUACAGUGUAAUUACACAUCUAAUUACACUAACAAAUAUUAUAGUUAACUGUAACAACUCCUAGUUACAGUGUAAUAACAACAUGCAACUGGUAGUAAUUGCGGUAUCUACAGUGCAUUCGGGAAAAGUAUUCCGACGCCUUGACUUUUCCACAUUUCCUUACGUUACAGCCUUAUUCUAAAAUGGGUUAAAUCGUUUUUUUUCCUCAUCAAUCUACACACAUCAUUUUAAAUUUUUUUGCAAAUGUUUUUUUUUUUUUAACAACUGAAAUAUCAUAUUUACAUGAAUAUUCAGACCCUUUACACAGUACUUUGUUGAAGCACCUUUGGCAGCGAUUACAGACUCAAGUCUUCUUGGGUAUGACAUUACAAGCUUAGUACACCUGUAUUUGGGGAGUUUCUUCCAUUCUUCUCUGCAGAUCCUGUCAAGCUUUGUCAGGUUGGAUGGGGAACAUCACUGCAAAGUUUUUUUUUAGGUCUCUCCGGAGAUAUUUGAUCCUGUUCAAGUCCGGGCUCUGGCUGGGCCACUCAAGGACAUUCAGAGACUUGUCCCGAAGCCACUCCUGCAUUGUCUUGGCUGUGUGCUUAGGGUCAUUGAACUGUUGGAAGGUGAACCUUCACAUAGGGCUGAGGUCCUGAGUGCUCUGGAGGAGGUUUUCAUCAAGGAUCUCUCUGUACUUUGUUCCGUUCAUCUUUCCCUCAUCCUGACUAGUCUCCCAGUCCCUGCUGCUGAAAAACAUCACCACAGCAUGACUCUUGACAUUAUGCAGAAGAGACGCUUGGCAUUCAGGACAGUCUUGGUUUCAUCAGACCAGAGAAUCUUAUUUGUCAUGGUCUGAAAGUCCUUUAGGUGCCUUUUGGCAAACUCCAAGCAGGAUGACAGGUGCCUUUUACUGAGGAGGGGCUUCCGUCUGGCCACUCUGCCUGAUUGGUGGAGUGCUGCAGCAAUGGUUGUCCUUCUGGAAAGUUUCCCAUCUCCACAGAUGAACUCCGGAGCUCUGUCAGUGUGACCAAUGCGGGUUCUUGGUAGAGGUCGACCGAUUAUGAUUUUUCAACGCCGAUACCGAUUAUUGGAGGACCAAAAAUGCCGAUGCCGAUUAAUCGGCUGAUUGUUUAUUUAUUUAUUUGUAAUCAUGACAAUUACAACAAUACCAAAGGAACACUUAUUUUAAGUUAAUAUAAUACAUCAAUAAAAUCAAUUUAGCCUCAAAUAUAUAAUGAAACAUGUUCAAUUUGGUUUAAAUAAUGCAAAAACAAAAUGUUGGAGAAGAAAGUAAAAGUGCAAUAUGUGCCAUGUAAGAAAGCUAACGUUUAAGUUCCUUGCUCAGAACAUGAGAACAUAUGAAAGCUGGAGGUUCCUGUUAACAUAAGUCUUCAAUAUUCCCAUGGAAGAAGUUUUAGGUUGUAGUUAUUAUAGGAAUUAUAGGACUAUUUCACUCUAUAUAAUUUGUAUUUCAUAUACCUUUGACUAUUGGAUGUUCUUAUAGGCACUUUAGUCUUGCCAGUGUAACAGUAUAGCUUCCGUCCCUCUCCUCGCUGCUACCUGGGCUCGAACCAGGAACACAUCGUCAACAGCCACCCUCGAAGCAGCGUUACCCAUGCAGAGCAAGUGACGUUUGAAGUUUGAAACGCGAUUAGCGCACACCCCGCUAACUAACUAGCCAUUUCACAUGGGUUACACCAGCCUAAUCUCGGGAGUUGAUAGGCUUGAAGUCAUAAACAGCGCAAUGCUUGAAGCAUUGCGAAGAGCUGCUGGCAAAAUGAAAGUGCUGUUUGAAUGAAUGCUUACGAGCCUGCUGGUGCCUACCAUCGCUCAGUCAGACUACUCUAUCAAAUCAUAGACUUAAUUAUAAUAUAAUAACACACAGAAAUACGAGCCUUAGGUCAUUAAUAUGGUCGAAUCCGGAAACUAUCACGUUUAUUCUUUCAGUGAAAUACGGAACCGUUCCGUAUUUUAUCUAAUGGGUGGCAUCCAUAAGUCUAAAUAUUCCUGUUACAUUGCACAACCUUCAAUGUUAUGUCAUAAUUACGUAAAAUUCUGGCAAAUUAGUUCGCGACGAGCCAGGUGGCCCAAACUGUUGCAUAUACCCUGACUCAGCGUGCAAUGAUUGCAAGAGAAGUGACACAAUUUCACCUGGUUAAUAUUGCCUGCUGACCUGGAUUUCUUUUAGCUAAAUAUGCAGAUUUAAAAAUAUAUACUUCUGUGUAUUGAUUUUAAGAAAGGCAUUGAUGUUUAUGGUUAGGUACAUUCGUGCAACGAGUGUGCUUUUUUCGCAAAUGCGCUUUUGUUAAAUCAUCCUCCGUUUGGCGAAGUUGGCUGUCUUUGUUAGGAAGAAAUAGUCUUCACAGUUCGCAAUGAGCCAGGCGGCCCAAACUGCUGCAUAUACCCUGACUCUGUUGAAAGAGAAGUGACACAUUUUCCCUAGUUAAAAUAAAUUCAUGUUAGCAGGCAAUAUUAACUAAAUAUGCAGGUUUAAAAAUUUUUACUUGUGUAUUGAUUUUAAGAAAGGCAUUGAUGUUUAUGGUUAGGUACACGUUGGAGCAACGUGUACCUAAGCGAUUAUAUGCAACGCAGGACAGGCUAGAUAAACUAGUAAUAUCAUCAACCAUGUGUAGUUAACUUGAUUGAUUGAUUGUUAUGAUUGAUUGAUUGUUUUUUCUAAGAUAAGUUUAAUGCUAGCUAGCAACUUACCUUGGCUUCUUACUGCAUUCGCGUAACAGGCAGGCUCCUCAUUGAGUGCAAUGUAAAGCAGGUGGUUAGAGCGUUGGACUAGUUAACCGUAAGGCUGCAAGAUUGAAUCCCCGAGCUGACAAGUUAAAAAUCUGUCGUUCUGCCCCUGAACAAGGCAGUUAACCCACCGUUCCUAGGCCGUCAUUGAAAAUAAGAAUGUGUUCUUAAUUGACUUGCCUAGUUAAAUAAAGGUGUAAAAAAUAAAUCGGCCAAAUCGGCCUCCAAAAAUACCGAUUUCCGAUUGUUAUGAAAACUUGAAAUCGGCCCUAAUUAAUCGGCCAUUCCGAUUAAUCGGUCGACCUCUAGUUCUUGGUCACCUCCCUCACCAAUGCCCUUCUCCCCUGAUUGCUCAGUAUGGCCAGCUCCAGGAAGAGUCUUGGUGGUUCCAAACAUCUUCCAUUUAAAAUGGAGGCCACUGUGUUCUUGGUUGACCUUCAAUGCUGCAGACAUUUUUUGGUACCCUUCCCCAGAUCUGUGCCUCGACACAAUUCUGUCUCGGAGCUCUGUGGACAAUUCCUUCGACCUCACUGCUUGGUUUUUGCUUUUACAUGCACUGUGAACUGUGGGACCUUAUAUAAACAGGUGUGUGCCUUUCAAAAUCAUGUCCAAUGAAUUGAAUUAACCACAGCUAGAUUCCAAUGAAGUUGUAGCAACAUCUCAAGGAUGAUCAAUGGAAACAGAAUGCACCGGAGCUCAAAUUCGAUUCUCAUAGCACAGGGUCUGAGUACUUAUGUAAAUAAGGUAUUUUUGUUUGUAAUACAUUUAAAAAAAUUCUAACAAGCUGUUUUCACAUUGCCAUUAUGGAGUAUUGUGUGUAGAUUGACGAGGGACAUUUUUUAUUUCAUCAAUUUUAGAAUGAGGCUGUAACAUAACAAAAUGUGGAAAAAGUCAAGGGGUCUGAAUACUUUCCGAAGGCACUGUAAUUACAGCAGUGUAACAAAUUAUUAUUGUUACCAUGGUUGUUACACAUGGGCAGGUUUCCACUAAAUUCACUAACUUAGUGUUUCGCUUCUUCUCAGCUGCAUACAGUAACAAAUGUCACAAAGGUUGUGAUCCCUCAUGGAUGUGAUGGGUGUCUUAGAGAUUAUAGCCUAUACUCAAUAGGCUCUAAUUACUUACCCUUGAAUGUGCACUCAGUGUUGUUGCUAGCACUUGCCCUCAAAAUAAAGUAUACCAUCAGGGGUAACUUGGUUAAGCUGGUAAAAACAGAUCAGUAGGUCAGCCUCACUGACUGGGAUCUAAUAUAGGUGUCAACCCAGAUGUGGAAAAAUACAUUAUUUCAAAGCGUAGUACAUGUAAUAUUUGCCUAAGUACAAUGUAAUCACUAGCUGUUACACUGGAUUUAGCUUGUUAAAAUGAAGUGUCUCAUGAGGGGUAGUUACCUGUAAUUAAUGUGUAUUUAUACAGUACAUUACCCAUCCUAACAACCUGGAACUCAGAAUUAAAGCUUCUAGAAGCACUAUAUAAGUGGGAGACUAAACAAAUUUGUACACCACAGAGUACAUGUAAUAUCUGCGUAAGUACAAUGUAAUUACUAGGUGUUACACAGGAUUUAGCUAGUUAAAAUUAAGUAUAUCUUGACGAAUACUUACUUGUAAUUAGUGUGUAUUUAUACUGUACAUUACCCAUCCUGACAUCCUGGCCCUCAUUUUAAAGCUUCUGGAAGUUUCACUUAAUUUCUGUACGCUAUUGUAAAAGACAGAUAUAGCAACAACCAUAAAAAAGUCAGCAAGAGGAAGAUAAUCUCUUAGGAACAGCUUUAUUACAUGAUAACAUUGCCAUAGUUUUCCUGAGAGGACAUUUGUAAUGUAAAAACAUUUGAAUAGUUUACUUAAACAUUGUUAUCCGAGGUAUCAUUUCACAAUUUAACAUUUUUGUAAAAAUAUUUUUUUUACUAAUCUACGAAGGCACAAGUGUCUGCAAACUGCCAUAAAUGUAUCAACUGAAAAAGAACAACGAAACAUGUGGUGCAGACAUUCUUCUUUAAGAAUGGUUAUCUGAGGUAGCAUUUCACAAAAAAAUAAAACGACGGAAGCAAAUAUUUUUCAAUGAUCUACUAAGGCACAAGUCUCACAGCAAACUGCCAUAAAAGUAUAAACUGAAAAAGAAAAACACUUCUUUAAGAAUUAAAACAGAUUUUUCAGAGAGUUUUUCAAUAUAUUAGGCUUCAUGAUGUAGGAGAUGCAAAAAACAUUCAAACUGGAAAAUUUCAAAACACCAUGUUGGCCUAAUUAACAGAACAUGGUUAAUCUACCAAAUCUUUGGUGUUAUAGACCAAAGCUUUCCCCUUGCCUUCUUCUUUUAUUUUAAUUUAAUAGCUCUGGACUGAGGGACCCAAACCAUAUUUUGCGAUACUCCAGAAGUUUCUCUUUCUUAAUGUUGUAAUUUGUAAAGUUAACAAUAUUUUUUUUUAAAUCUAAUUUUUUUAAGCUUUUUUUAUUUUCUAUGGCAAAUGAAAAUACUGUGAUCACAAAAUACAAUGACAGAUCAAUAACAGAACAAAAGUGAAAUUAUCUCCAGAUCUACUUCUCCACACCUCCAACGGUAUUUGAAGAUGGGCCCAAUAUGUGCUUUUCUCCCUCCAAAAAAUUCAGUCACACUUUAUAUCUCUUCUUAAUGUUGUUGAUCAGUUGUCCGAAGAUGCCUCCCCUGUGUUUUUUGCCCAACCAGUAAGUCCAUUCAAUACAUUUCAAAUGGUUCUUCAACAUUUUCUCUGAUUGAUUCCCUUUUAGUCUCCAGACCUGUUUUUUGAUCAUCUGCAAAGAGCGUUCAAUGUGCUGUGUGUGGCUGCUCGAAUGUGGAUCAACAAAGUUCUGCCUGUGGUUCACAGUGUGAUGCUGAUAACCUAGUGGAUUCAGCGCCUGCACAUAUGCUCUCCACGAGUCACUGUAGAUGGUUGAUCCUCUUUUGAUGUUGUUUUCUAAUGAUCGGGAUCAGUACUCUGCGUGAGCUUGAAGGUACCAUUUUCAAAUCGGGUCAUCUAUUACCUCUGUUGACCUCCAACAUCCCAAAGACCCAGUUGUACUGUGAAAUAAAAAUUGAAUAAAAGACAUGACACAAAACGCAAUACAAAGCAGACAGAUCUGUGAAGUGUUCAAGUACUUUACAGUUUGGUAAACCACAUAUACAGUACUGUAUUAGUGUCUAUUCUUGUAUCUACUCCAUUGUUAAAAAAAUAUAUGUAUUUACAUGGAAAAGAAAGAUUAACACAUCAAGAAGACUGCAAUAUCAACAUCAUCCUAUUGAAUAAAGUACCUUUCUUUUAUGGCUGAAUUUGGACUCAACGAUAACCAAAAAUGUCGCAGAAAUCAAUCGAAUUUAAUCGAUUUCUGUGAUGUCCGCCAAAUUUGAAGGCGUUCCAUUUCUUCAAUCUUCUCAAAGCCUUUGUACACAUACACACCUUUAAAACACAUGAACGUUUGAGUUAUACGUGUAUGUCAUUGUUUAAGUGAACACACACAAACACUAUCAUCCAGUGGAGGCUGCUGAGGAGGAGACAGCUCAUAAUAAUGGCUGGAAUGGAGUCAAUGGAAUGGUAUCAAACACAUGUGGUUGAUACCAUUCCAUUGACUCCAUUCCAGCCAUUAUUGUGAGCCGUCCUCCCCUCAGCAGCCUACCAUAAUAUGUAUACAGGUGUGUAGCCCGGAUGACGCAACCUAUGUGGUAUACAGUGAGGGAGUGCUAUGACCCACUGGUCUGGACAGGAGUCUUUGUUGGUGCAAAUCCAACAGUUGUAAUGGAAGGGGGCAGCGCUCGGGACUGUGUGUGGCUGUACAUGUGGGUGUUUGAUUGAGAAAGACACAGAGGAGAACAAAGCAGUAAAAGCACAACUCCCUUCAUUAUCGCCGCAUCGUUCUGACAACAUCAAACAGUCUCUCCAGAUUCUGAAGUCAGGUGGACUUUGAGUUUGGUAUCAGCCAGACUAACAGGUGUGAGCUUGUGUUAGCUGAAUGUGCACAAGGGUUAACUUAUUGUUUGUUCUUACUGAUUACACAUACAGACUUGCGUUUUGACAACGGAGGGAUCAAUAAUUUAGUGCAAGGUCAUGGAGAUACUGUACAUUUCCACCGGAAGAGAACGGCAAAAUGCGUGCACGCAUAAUUACACUUCUUUGAACCGGAGACCGGUGUUUUUGCUAAUAUUUGGAAUGACUCGGGUUAUAAGCUUAAAAAGUGAUCUGGAUCUAGGCUAAUUUAUUUCUUACCUUUCUGAGCUUCUUUAUUUGUGAACUACCAGCCAAUCCAUCCUGCUUCAUGUCAAUUUGAGUCAUAGGCCUUGGGAGAAGCUGGUAAUGAAAUGUAAACCAAUAGGAAUGUUUCUAUAGAACUAUAGACAGAAAUAUGCAUGCAUUCAGGUUUACUGCUUGAGAUGACUUCAUAUACUGUAGCUUAGUGAAGGCCCUAUGCCUUAGUUUUAAAAUGUCUCAAAGAUCAUUGACAUGCCUAACAAAACAAACGUAGUUCCAGCACAGCUGCAACACUAACAUGCUAAUGUUGGCACACAAAAUUGCAGAAUACCCCUCUCAUGUAAUACAGUUCGUGCUCAUGCGUCUACAACGUGCUUAGAGACUUCCCCAUUGUUAAUUGGUCAGGUUAAAAAGAAGUGUGCAUCACUCAACAGGCCUAGUGAGUAAGCAUAAAAGAGGACAGUGGGGGUAUGGAGGCGUAUAGAUUGGCACUUUGCCAGUCACUCAUUCGGGAUACUAUAUAAUGCAAUCGGGUGCAUAGUCCCUCUAUUUUGCACACUGAAUGAUGAACAGUGGGUAGCUAUAGUAAUUGCACAAUUAUCAAUAUAUUGAAUAGGGUCAGGGUGUGCAAUUUACAUGAAUUUAGUGGGUUCUCAUUAUCUAAAAUGGGCUGACUUACCGGAAGAUGAAUCCCAUCCGUUCAUUUAGUCCAUUAUGUGAACUGACUUAACAUUGAUCCUUUCCGUAUUGAGCAUUUUGUUUUCCAGGGAUGGUUACACAUCCUAUAUGAAGUAAUUACAGUAGUAUAAUGUUAUUAUAGUCACAUACAUUAACUUCUGCAGGCCCUCAUAAACCGGGUCAGCAACAAAAGUAUAAACAAUGGAGCAUUAUAUUUUCCUACGCAAAUAGCACUUAUCUAUCAUUAUGUAAUAGUGCAGAGUUACAAUACUGUAGUGAACGGAGAGACAGGAACGGGAACCCUGGUCGUUGGGGUGAAACGCAAACACCCUAUGCGUUGCGCAAACACCUCACAAGUACUCAACUGCAGCUUCAUUAAAUAGUACCUGCAAAACACCAGUCUCAACGUCAACAGUGACGUUGAGACUGGUAAGCUAAAUUAUCUUUUGUUUUAGGCAGGUUGGUUGUUUCGCAACAAAACCGACGCGUUGUGACAGCAUUGAAUUUGUCUGAACCGUCUCAGUGUUUCUCCUGCCGAUGGGGCGCUUCCCCUUUAAUUCCCUAUUAAAUAGCCAGCAUCAGCUGCGCAGAAGUGGGUUGUGACAGUGUCGCGAGAGAGUAAUUGUUCAAACCUCAGCUUGAAAGCUCGUUGAUACCCAGUUUGUUUUGGUGUAUUUAAAAGUGUGUACUGUAGCCGUGUCGCAGGAUCAACCAGUAUCGGAUCUACUUAUGUAUAUUGUUGGCAGGGGCGCCAUAUGGGGGGGAAAAGUUAGGACGAUUCUAACGGCCUAAUAAGAAAUUAUUAGAACAUUAGGACAAAAAGUAAACAUGCAGAGAGCCUCUGUAUUGCCCAACCCCCCCUAGCAGUGAAUUGCGAGUGAGAAGUGCCGGAGCAUCAUGUCGCAGCUUCCUAAAGAAAAAUCUGGCUUCCAAAAACUAAAAGAAAGAAAAGAAGGACAGGAGAGAGAAAAGAAAGGGCGACUGUAUGUCACCCAAUUUUUCACAAAGGAAGAUCUUUUUGCCGCUGAAACUCUAGCACGUUCAAAAGCGAAUACUGGAACAAUAUUUUGAAUGUCGAAUGUGGAGAAUGCUCAGAGGCGAUCUAAAGAACACUAAUGUCAUUACGUUUGUUGUUUUGUGAUAUCAUUAAAAAUGUUAUAAAGGAAAUACUGUAGCUUGGAAAGUAUACCCACUACAUGUGUGAAGUGUCCAUCCUAUGUGAAUCCAAAGCACAUUCAAUAAAGGAAGGUGAUAGAUAUAAUCAAAUGUUUUAUUUACAUGCAUUUAUUUCACCUCAUACUUUCUUCUGACCCUCCUGGGAUUUAAAAUAUUGCCUUCUGUUUAGUUUACUGUACAUAGUAGAGUGUAAGGAAAAGGUAAAAUACAAAAGAGAGUUUACAGUAUGUGCAGGUAAGGUAAAAAUAGGGACACUACUGUGAAACCAUAUGGCAUAAUUCUGUUGGGGUAAGUGUCCUCCGGGGGGAGGGAGGACUUACUCCGGUAGCUGGACAAAAUACCCCUUUCCUAAAAUAUAAAUUGUAUUAAAUAACUACAAAUCUGCCAACUGAAGCUAUCAUCCACCUUCAUUUUUUUCUGAAAUCUGCUUUUUUGUGUCAGCAAAUAGACAUUGAUCUUAGAGUGUGUGUUUACCCCAAUGUUUUAUUUGUUUUGUGAAAUGCUAUCUCAGAUUCUUAAGGAAGAACUUCUGCACCACGUGAUUUGUUUUUCUCUUUUAGUUGAUGCUUUUAUGGCCGUUUGCAGAGAGAUUUGUGCCAUAGUAGAUGUGUGAAAAAUAUAUGUUGUUACCUCAGAUAACCAUAUUUAAUAAGCAAACUAUCAAAAUGUUUUCGCACUAAUGUAAAGGAAGAAUUUGGCAAUGUUAUCAUGUAAUAAAGAUGUCCCUAACCUGA
rnacentral:lncRNA from 1 species